AUCGCUUCUCAGCCUUUUGGCAAAGAUCAAGUGUAGUAUCUGUUCUUAUCAGUUUAACAACCAAAUUCAAUAGUGUAGCAUAAUGCAAACUUAACAUUCAAAAAUCAGUGGCAUUCAUA
rnacentral:snRNA from 1 species